rnacentral:lncRNA from 1 species
AGGCCCCAGCCUCAAUUCCUAUCAGAACAGAACUAAAAACAAAAGGCCAGCCUUGCUCAUCACCUUAAAAGGUACAUGAUCUAACUUAUUGUUACUCUGCAAAGGCUAUGUGCCCGAGACCAUAGUAAUAAAGUAAUAAGAGAAAAAUGAGGAUGUCCUUGCAGGAAUCAUAAAAACUCAUAAGUUGAAAGUUCAGCCCACUAUUAAAAACUGAGUUCACGAGUAAGGCUAGUCCAGCUCGGAAAGAACGUACAGAUAAGAAUGCCUUAGUGAAAUGGAUAAAUUUAUAAGUCAAAAGUUCAGUCAAUUGAUAGAAUUUUAGUUCUGAUGAGCUUGAAGGUAAAAAGGAAAAAACAGUAUAGUGGAUUCCUUAGCGAAAUUACGAAGCACAUAGUUUAAGUGUUUCAUUCUUGACAAGUUAGAUUGUUCAACAGAAUAAGUAGCCCAAUGAAGCUGAAAAAGCAAGCAAAGUAAAUGAAAAUGAAAUUUCAUUAAAAGAAAAGUACAUUACAGCCUAUUCUAAUUAUCUACACGGGAUGGAGGGAAAACUGUCCUUAAAGGACUUACACGCCUAGGGGCAUUAUCAUCUACCUUAGCAUCUGCACUGUCUACACC